rnacentral:ncRNA from 2 species
AAUAGGCCUGGGGAGCUGGACAUUUGGCCGGCUGAGAGGAGACGCCUCACGUCUCGACCCAAUAACCUGAUCUGGAUAAUGCCAGCGUAGGAAUCGGCAAUGGAGCGAUG